GGGGAAUAUCCCUGAUGCAUUUGCUAACCUAGCCUUUGAAAACAGUUUCUUGAACAAUCCCAGCCUUUGUACCACCAACUCUCUUCCGUAUCUUCCAAGUUGUAAUAAUGCCAAAGUCACCGAUUCCAAAAGAUUGUCCCAUAGAGUCCUAGCCCUGAUUCUGGUCCUUGCAUUCGCUGUUUUCCUAUUUAGUGUUGUAUCAACCUUGUUCUUGGUUAGAGACUACAGGAGGAAGAAGCAUAAGCGCGAUGUUGCAAGCUGGAAGUUGACUUCAUUCCAGAGGUUGGAUUUCACAGAGGCAAACAUUUUGUCAAGUUUGACGGAAAAUAACAUGAUUGGAAGUGGUGGAUCGGGUAAGGUGUACAGAAUUUCCGUUGGCAGACCAAAU
rnacentral:misc_RNA from 1 species